rnacentral:rRNA from 1 species
UACGGGGGGGGCAAGCGUUGUUCGGAAUUACUGGGCGUAAAGGGCUCGUAGGCGGCCAACUAAGUCAGACGUGAAAUCCCUCGGCUUAACCGGGGAACUGCGUCUGAUACUGGAUGGCUUGAGAUUGGGAGAGGGAUGCGGAAUUCCAGGUGUAGCGGUGAAAUGCGUAGAUAUCUGGAGGGACACCGGUGGCGAAGGCGGCAUCCUGGACCAACACUGACGCUGAGGAGCGAAAGCCAGGGGAGCAAACGGG